CUGCGCGCUUACCAUGCAGUCGAGCGGGGAAGGUAGCUUGCUACCUGACCUAGCGGCGGACGGGUGAGUAAUGCUUAGGAAUCUGCCUAUUAGUGGGGGACAACAUUCCGAAAGGAAUGCUAAUACCGCAUACGCCCUACGGGGGAAAGCAGGGGAUCUUCGGACCUUGCGCUAAUAGAUGAGCCUAAGUCAGAUUAGCUAGUUGGUGGGGUAAAGGCCUACCAAGGCGACGAUCUGUAGCGGGUCUGAGAGGAUGAUCCGCCACACUGGGACUGAGACACGGCCCAGACUCCUACGGGAGGCAGCAGUGGGGAAUAUUGGACAAUGGGCGAAAGCCUGAUCCAGCCAUGCCGCGUGUGUGAAGAAGGCCUUUUGGUUGUAAAGCACUUUAAGCGAGGAGGAGGCUACUUAGAUUAAUACUCUAGGAUAGUGGACGUUACUCGCAGAAUAAGCACCGGCUAACUCUGUGCCAGCAGCCGCGGUAAUACAGAGGGUGCGAGCGUUAAUCGGAUUUACUGGGCGUAAAGCGUGCGUAGGCGGCUUUUUAAGUCGGAUGUGAAAUCCCUGAGCUUAACUUAGGAAUUGCAUUCGAUACUGGGAAGCUAGAGUAUGGGAGAGGAUGGUAGAAUUCCAGGUGUAGCGGUGAAAUGCGUAGAGAUCUGGAGGAAUACCGAUGGCGAAGGCAGCCAUCUGGCCUAAUACUGACGCUGAGGUACGAAAGCAUGGGGAGCAAACAGGAUUAGAUACCCUGGUAGUCCAUGCCGUAAACGAUGUCUACUAGCCGUUGGGGCCUUUGAGGCUUUAGUGGCGCAGCUAACGCGAUAAGUAGACCGCCUGGGGAGUACGGUCGCAAGACUAAAACUCAAAUGAAUUGACGGGGGCCCGCACAAGCGGUGGAGCAUGUGGUUAAUUCGAUGCAACGCGAAGACCUUACCUGGUCUUGACAUAG
rnacentral:rRNA from 1 species